rnacentral:sRNA from 1 species
GCUACCGAAUUUCUACAAAAUGUCCAACAGAAUCUUUCAGUGCAUUUGUCCAACAUGCCCAAUAGAUUUUGUUUGACUCAGUUACUGAGCUCCUGGGAGCUGAGUGUGAGGAAAGCCUGCGAUCCAGUCAACCCUCUGAUUGCCCAGCCUAGCUCCGCCUUUGUGUGAGCUGACCAAUGUAUUUGUUCGUGUGUCUUCUAGUCCAGUCUUGUGUUUGUCAUUGCUGGCUGACGUGUGUAAUUAAAAUCCAAUUAGAUGUUGUCAUUUCUUCAGA